rnacentral:rRNA from 1 species
UACAGAGGGCCCGAGCGUUGUUCGGAUUCACUGGGCGUAAAGGGCGCGUAGGCGGCCCGGCCAGUUUGAUGUGAAAGCUCAGGGCUUAACCCUGAAAUGGCAUUGAAUACUGCUGUGCUGGAGGUUUGGAGGGGGGACUGGAAUUCUUGGUGUAGCAGUGAAAUGCGUAGAUAUCAAGAGGAACACCAGUGGCGAAGGCGAGUCCCUGGACAACACCUGACACUGAGGCACGAAAGCCGGGGGAGCAAACAGG